GGUUUUUUUUAUUUCUGCUCCAGGGAGUUUUGAUGAAGCAAUGGAUACGAGCACACACACACACACACACACACACACACACACACACACACACACACACACACACACACACACACACACACACACACACACACACACACACACACACACACACACACACACACACACACACACACACACACACACACACACACACACACACACACAACUCUAAACAACCAUUCAUACAUUUGUCUACCUAUACAACAAAGCAAAUGACUCUGUAUUGUUUAUAAACAUUUUUUUUUCGACCAAUCGCAACCGUUUUCUAUUCAUGAUUUUUUUAAACAGCUGUAUAAAAUGUAAAAGCGCAUUUUCGGAGUCAUGAUUUGAGGUGUAACAAGCUAAGAUGACGGGUAAGUUUUUAACUCAAGACGCAAAUCUUUUUUUCUCUUUCUGGUUUAACAUCUUUAUUUUCAGACGCUAUUGUCAUAUCGGACGGCGAGUGGGAAGAAAUUCCUAUUGAGGAAUUAACUUGUAAAACUCCGGUACCGGUCCCCCUGGAUGAUUUGUCUAAAAUUAAUCGCGCGGUCGAGAAUCUGAGUGAGUGGAUUUUAUAAAUAUAUACGUAACGUUCUUUUCUUCAACUGAGAAAUAUCUCAUUUUACAGAAAAGGAGGGGGUUCAACCUUACCCCGGAAGUGAUAACUUUUACCCAACCACGCCUCCAUCCACCAGCCGAACCGUCUUACAUUCGUAUCAGCCCAGCCAUACCGUCAGAUCACACGGGAAUGCGAGCGUGAAAGCUGUUCGUUACAGGACCGUCACGCCGCAGACGAUCCUCGAAGCUGGUAAGUGAUUACAAAAUAGCGAUUAAUAAGUCAGAGAUGUGUCGUUCAUAUUUAUCGUUUUUAUUCUUCAGAGCAACGUCCGACGGCCUACGCACCCCCAAUAUCUCAGCCCCCACCACCUCCAGCCCCUUCUCAUGCGCGGACGGAUGAACAACAUUCGACUGCCGCUUCAAUAUCUCCGCCCACACCUCCUCCAUCUCCUCCUCCUCCUCCUCCUCCCCCUUCUCCUGCACAGGAACAAUCCGAC